GUAGUCUCGCACAGACGCAUAUCAAUAAGCGGAGGAAAAGAAACUAACAAGGAUUCCCUUAGUAACGGCGAGUGAAGCGGGAAGAGCUCAAAUUUGAAAUCUUCAAGGUUUUACCUUGACGAAUUGUAGUUUAAAGAAGUGUUUUCUGUUGAAGUUCUGGUAAAAGUUCUUUGGAAUAGGACAUCAUAGAGGGUGAGAAUCCCGUAUUUGACCAUUAUUUUCAGCUGUGUGAUACACUUUCAAAGAGUCGGAUUGUUUGGGAAUGCAGUCCAAAAUGGGUGGUAAACUUCAUCUAAAGCUAAAUAUUGGCGAGAGACCGAUAGCGAACAAGUACCGUGAGGGAAAGAUGAAAAGAACUUUGAAAAGAGAGUUAAACAGUACGUGAAAUUGUCAAAAGGGAAGCGUUUGACACCAGUGUUGUUUUCUCGAGAAUCAAUUAAAAAGAGUUAGAUUUUGUUGUGUAUUGACCUUAACAGCUUGCAUUUCAAUUUUCUUGCUUUUUUUAAUGCACUUUUCGUCUAACAAGUCAACAUCAGUUUCCUUUUGUUGUAAAAAGGUCAUUGGAAGGUGGCUUUCUUUUCGGAGAAAGUGUUUAUAGCCUUUGACUCCUGCAAUCGGAGAGACUGAGGUCUGCAGCGUAGAUCCUUCGGGGUUAGAUACAUUUGUGCUAAGUUAUAGCUUUUUAUAGACAACUUGUUGACUAUGAUUAGUCUUGUAGCUUACUCGCUUAUGCUAUUUUACCUACGCUUAGGAUGUUGAGCGCAUGUCUCUCUCU
rnacentral:rRNA from 1 species